UAACAAUGAUUCCCCUAGUAACGGCGAGUGAAGAGGGAAAAGCUCAAGUUUGGAAGCUUCGUGGCAUAGCUACGACGCGUUGUAAACUGAAGUUUUUUGGGUGAUUGGGCGACCGGAUAAAUAAGUCCUUUGGAAAGGGGCAACAUAGAGGGUGACAUUCCCGUCUUUGGUCCGAGUCAGUGCAGUCGCUGCCCAGGAAACGACGAGUCAGGUUGUUUGGGAAUGCAGCCUAAAAUGGGAGGUAAAUCUCUCCUAAAGCUAAAUACUGGCGUAAGACCGAUAGCGAACAAGUACCGUGAGGGAAAGAUGAAAAGGACUUUGAAAAGAGGGUCAAAUAAGUACGUGAAAUUGUUGAAAGGGAACCGUAUGAAAGUAGACUGGCUUGGUGAUGAUCAAUGUGUGUUUCGGCACGCAUGCACUCAUUGCCUUUGCCAGCCAGCGGCAGUUUUUGCUAAAGGAAGAAAAUCAGGGGAAUGUGGCUUCGAUUUCGGUUGAAGUGUUAUAGCUCCUGGUAAAAUACUUUGGCAGAGACUGAGGCUAGCAGCGGAUCUUUGGGAACUUUGCGCGCUUGUCGUCCAAUGGCUAAGUUUUCUUCGGAGCUUGGUCAUUGGGUGGCAACUCGUGUGAUGCUUCACCCUUCCGCUUAGGUCGCUGGCGUAAUGCUUUUAUAUGA
rnacentral:rRNA from 1 species